GGAAGAAGCAGCAGCCAAAAAUAGAAGGUAACCCAAAUUAACCAUUGAUGUUUCAGAAUCUCAUGUUUAUGGGUGUGAUUGAGUGUAUAUGUGCCGUUUUUCAAAUUGCAGUAAGUAUACCCUUCACUGAACAAGUUUCAUUUAAACCCGCCUCUGCAGGACCAGUAAGGCAUCACCCUGGAAAAGGUUACUACAAAAAAACCAAAAAUGAAGAUAUAGAGGUACCAUUAUUUGACUUGGCUACAAUCGCUAGUGCUACAGAUAACUUUGCAAUUAACAAUAAGCCUGGAGAGGGCCGAUUUGGACCUGUUUACAAGGUAACAAACAAUAUUGGUUACGAAGUUCAAGGCAGUCGGUGCUAAAUUUUUUCACUAUGUUGCUAGAAACUUCCCAAUGUCAUGCAGAAUUGAUAACUCAGCAAUUUUAGUCAGCACAUGUGCAUUUAACAAGAGUUCUAAUGAAAAACCAUGGAGAAUGAUAUUCUGCAUGGACUUUAAUGGUGACUGUUGUACAUGAUUUUGCUGAGUAAUGGCAUUGAAAGAAACAUUAUAUAGAAGAAGAAACACAAAAGUUUGAUAAAGUAAAAUGUACAUGGCUUCUUUCAGUGGCAGCAUAUUGUACCUAACAAACAAAAUGGUUUUUAAUUUUCAGGGUUUGCUGGAGGGGGGACCAGAAAUAGCUGUGAAAUUGCUUUCGAAAUAUUCCAAACAAGGUGUUGAUGAAUUCAAGAAUGAAGUUAUAUUUAUCGCCACGCUUCAACAUCGGAAUCUUGUAAAGCUUCUAGGAUAUUGCAAUCAAGGAGAAGAAAGGAUGUUAAUAUAUGAAUACAUGCCCAACAAUACCUUGGAUUCCUUUGUUUUCGAUCAAUCAUGAAGGAUGCUGCUGGAUUGGCCUAAGCGCUUCCACAUUAUCAAUGGAAUAGCUGGGGGGCUUCUUUAUCUUCAUCAAGAUUCUAGACUCAGAACUAUCCAUAGGGAUCUAAAAGGUAGCAAUAUUUUAUUAGAUCAUGAGAUGAACCAAAAAAUAUCACUUUGGCUUAGCCAGAAGUUUUGGAGGAAAUGAUGCAGAAGAAAAUACAAAAAAAGUUGUCGGAACAUAGUAAGUGUUAAUACUAUACCUAUACUACUAUACCUAUAAUUUAAUACUAUAAUACUAUACCUAUAAUUUAAUACUCUAGUGAUCUGUAAUUGAUCUGUAGCUCGUUGUUGCUAGGCUAGCAAUAGUUGUUGGCAGAUAGACAUCUUCUUUACACCUUCUUUUCCUUUUGCUUUCAUUUGUAUAUUUCAUUGGUUCAUCAUUUUGUCUUGUAAAACAUCUCCUAUAUAAUGGAGGCUCCAUUUGGUUGCAAUACACAUCAAAAACACAGAGCUAAUAUUUGCUCUCUCAAUCUAUCUCAAUUUCUUAUAGUAAGAAUAUACUAACACGUUCAAAAUUAAUCAUCCUCUUUCAACAAUGCUCAUAACCUAGUUUAUUUGUUCAUUGUUUUCCUAUAGUGGUUACAUGUCUCCGGAAUAUGCAAUUGAGGGGCUUUUCUCAGUACAAUCAGAUGUAUUUAGCUUUGGUGUUAUGGUAUUAGAAACAGUGAGCGGGAAGAGAAACAGGGGAUUCUAUCACCCAAAUCAUCACCUCAACCUUCUUGGGCAUGCCUGGAUACUUUAUAAGGAAGGCAAGGCAACAGAAUUGAUUGAUGCAGCAAUAGAAAACUCAUGCAAUUUACACGAAGUGUUGUGUUCAAUUCAUUUGGGUUUAUUGUGUGUGCAACAUCAGCCAGAGGAUAGGCCUAACAUGUCAACAGUGGUUCUGAUGUUGGGCGGAGAGGGUGCUCUGACUCAUCAACCUAAACCACCUGUUUUUUUCACUGAAAGGAAUCUGCUUGAAGCAGAGUCAUCACGGAGCAAGAAUGAACCAUGUUCAGCCAACAUGGUCACUCUAACACAGUUAGAGCCCCAAUAGACUUGUCUCACAUUGUCUCUCUAAGCCACCCAAGCUUAAUUAAUAUAUUUAAAUAUUGUCAAUUGGUUUUGAGUUGCAUAAUUUAACAUGUCUUAAUUUUUACGGUCCAAUACAUUUGAGUUCAGCUAAUGAAAGUUUUGUUGUUGUUGUUGUUUUUGAAUGGGUUUGUUCAUUUAGUUUUGUUUUUGUUCGAGUCAUAUGAUGUAUGAUCCUUCUAAACUGUGAACUUUUUACUAGAAGCUCUCCUUAUCAAGUUUUUGCCCACAAGUUGCAACCAGCUUCAGAAAUCUUUAUAUUUGGUUGAUUUUUUAAAUUUUGUUCACUGAAAAUUAGUUUGGUGAAAAAAAAAAUGAUUAUUUUUAUAGAGUAGUUGCAUUUUUAUAUGGUUCGUCUUUUUUCCCUUUAAAGAAAAAUAUGGUUUAUCUUUUUAGGGUGGAAAUAAUUUUUGAAAAUAUCAAGAUAUGUUUUUGGUGUUUAUUUUGUCAACUUACUUUCUAAUUUAAAAAAAAAAAAAAUUGAAUAAAUUAGAAAACAAUUCUAAAAAAGGCUGUCGGUUGAUAUAUCCAAUCCUAUAUUUUCUUUGUUUGGAGGUCCAAGUGUACAUUGUCCAUAAGGACAAAUUAGGAUAAUUCUAUUUUCACACAUUAAUUCCUUUCAGUACACACACUUACUGAACAACUUCUCAAUACACACAUUAUAAAAAUAUAAAUUCUUAGUACACAUCCCUAUAUUCCAAUAUUACUCUUAUUUUCAAUUUUAAAACCCUAAGACUAUGUUUGGUUUCAAUGUUUGAAUCAAUUUUUUUGAAAUUUUUUUUGAGAAAAUUAUAAAUUAAUUUGACAAAAAUAAAUACCAAAAAAAUAUUUUUUAAUUUUUUUGUCCCUAGAAAGAUAAAACCAUAUUGAAAUGAGAAGUUUUUAUUUAUUUAUUUUUAAAAACAUAUUUUAAAACUAGAUUAAACACAGCCUUUUCUUUCUCUUUUUAGAUCACUGGUUCUUCUCAAUGGAACACAGAGCAUUGUCUGGUCAUCUAACCUGUUAAGAUUUGAAGAAAGUCCAGUGGCACAGCUCUUAGAUUCUGGAAAUCUUGUUCUGUUUGGCAAGACAAACAAAUUCUGAUAGUUUCCUAUGGCAGAGCUUUGAUUUCCCAUGCAAUACGCGGAUACCUGA